rnacentral:rRNA from 1 species
GAUGAACGCUGGCGGCGUGCCUAAUACAUGCAAGUCGAGCGAACGGACGAGAAGUUUGCUUCUCUGACGUUAGCGGCGGACGGGUGUGUAACACGUGUAUAACCCACCUAUAUGACUGGGAUAACUUCGGGAAACCGUAGCUUAUACCGGAUAAUAUCUUGAACCGCAUGGUUCAAAAGUGAAAGACGGUCUUGCUGUCACUUAUAGAUGGAUCCGCGCUGCAUUAGCUAGUUGGUAAGGUAACGGCUUAUCACGGCUAGGAUGCAUAACCGACCUGAGAGGGUGAUCGGCCACACUGGAGCUGAGACGCGGUCCAGACUCCUACGGGAGGCAGCAGUAGGGAAUCUUCCGCAGUGGGCGAAAGCCUGACGGAGCAACGCCGCGUGAGUGAUGAAAGUCUUCGGAUCGUAAAACUCUGUUAUUAGGGAAGAACAGAUGUGUAAGUAACUGUGCACAUCUUGACGGUACCUAAUCAGAAAGCAACGGCUAACUACGUG